AUUGAACGCUGGCGGCAUGCCUUACACAUGCGAGUCGAACGGCAGCACGGGUGCUUGCACCUGGUGGCGAGUGGCGAACGGGUGAGUAAUACAUCGGAACAUGUCCUGUAGUGGGGGAUAGCCCGGCGAAAGCCGGAUUAAUACCGCAUACGAUCUACGGAUGAAAGCGGGGGACCUUCGGGCCUCGCGCUAUAGGGUUGGCCGAUGGCUGAUUAGCUGGUUGGUGGGGUAAAGGCCUACCAAGGCGACGAUCAGUAGCUGGUCUGAGAGGACGACCAGCCACACUGGGACUGAGACACGGCCCAGACUCCUACGGGAGGCAGCAGUGGGGAAUUUUGGACAAUGGGCGAAAGCCUGAUCCAGCAAUGCCGCGUGUGUGAAGAAGGCCUUCGGGUUGUAAAGCACUUUUGUCCGGAAAGAAAUCCUUGGCCCUAAUACGGUCGGGGAGAUGACGGUACCGGAAGAAUAAGCACCGGCUAACUACGUG
rnacentral:rRNA from 1 species